rnacentral:rRNA from 1 species
GUAGUCCACGCCGUAAACGAUGGGCACUAGGUGUGGGAGGUGUCGACUCCUCCCGUGCCGGAGCUAACGCAUUAAGUGCCCCGCCUGGGGAGUACGGCCGCAAGGCUAAAACUCAAAGGAAUUGACGGGGACCCGCACAAGCAGCGGAGCAUGUGGUUUAAUUCGACGAAACGCGAAGAACCUUACCUGGGUUUGACAUGUGCCUGACCGCCGUGGAAACACGGCUUCCCUUUUGGGCAGGUUCACAGGUGGUGCAUGGCUGUCGUCAGCUCGUGUCGUGAGAUGUUGGGUUAAGUCCCGCAACGAGCGCAACCCCCGUCGCAUGUUGCCAGCAUUUAGUUGGGGACUCA